CCACGGGCCAUACUCCCUCCAGGAGCAGCUGGCCCUAUGUGUCAGGCACAGCUCAGCAGCCCUCCUGCGAGAGGGGGUGGUAGGCAGCUUGGGCCACAAAACCAGCUUUGGGCUUGACAGCCUCGCUCCUUUAAUUCAGCGCGGCAUGCACUCCAAAAGCUGUUUUGCCUGUUUAAAUGGGGUCUUCUGGCCAAAACCUCUGUACCUGGACAGUGAGGAUUUCUGGGACAGCCCAUCUUGCUUAAGCUCACACUGCCACACCAUGCCUUAGAAAACAAGGUGUGGAAUCCCCUCAUUGUGAAAAUUAAUGUGAACUACAGCAGAAACCUCGACAAUCAAACUUCUGUUGUGACAAAGCAACAAUAAUCUACACUGCUGUGCCAAGGCCCUGAUUCAUGUUAUAUGUGUUCCUUUACCAAGUUUUAAGAAGAGCAAAAGAUUGGGUACCUUUAAAAAAAUAACAGUAUUUCAGUGCAAAUAUAAACUUAUCAUAAGCUUCCUGAAGUACACACAGAAUAAAGGCAGUAUCACUGCAGAGAAGGUAUCUGCUUUCAAGGGGGUUUGCAUUCUCAUUGAAUGCUGGACUGGGUCCAGACCAGCCAGAGUAUAACCACCCUCUAACCUCCCUGCAGAGACUUACAGAGAUGAGACUGAAGCAGUAUGAUUUCUGACAGAAAUCAAAUCCUGGCUACUGCACUGCUGGGAACACUACAGACAAGGAAAAAAAAAAGAAAGAGGAAUUGGAAGUGAAACAAUUCUGUGGAGCUCAUUUAGAUAAUACCUUGUCAAAGGACCAGAUACAGGACACAUGAUACCUUUUACUAAAUGCUUGCAGAAGUUAAGUGUCUGCUAGCAUAAAAUUUAGUAUUAAAAAAUGGGAUGUACAAACGUUAAAGCUGAGCAGUUAUAAAACAGCUCAGUUACAUGCCCAGGUUAACCAAGCUAAACAGUAUGCCUAGUCAAAUCGCACAUAAAACCAUGGAGACUAUUUGAAAAAUACAAUUUGUUCAAAUUUCCAUCAGUUUGUAUUUCAGCAUUUGCAUCUCAGGGGACUCAUAGGGGAAUAACUCCUAGAUAAUAUGCUUCCAAAGAUUCAAAACCAAGUGACCUUAAUGGAAGCUUAUCAGUAUUAGGAUGUUGCAUUAUGGGUGCUGGGUACAUAUUCAGUACUUUCUUCUUGAUGUAAUGCACCCAGGGACAUAUAUAGGAAAAUCCCAGGACAGACUGAUGAACAGCUUCUAGAUAUUCCCUAUCUUGCAAUAAUCAUUCUGCUGUAGUGGUACAAACCUUUGAGCAGUCACACAGCAAACUGGAUCAGAAGAAUGCAUUUGUAACAUAAAUAUUAAGAUUGGUCUGAAGAGUGUAUGAACAGAAAUGUCUGUCAGUAAAAGCACCAGGAAAGACAACAGAGCAAAGUUGCAGGGAAAAAAAACAAACCACCAAACCCAAACCAUUUUGAUAACCAUGGAUGCAAUUGACAGCAAUCAAAUGGUUACACACCAAGGAAUGUGGUGUUUGCAGCAGGACCAGGAAGCCUAUGCCCUAGGAAGCCCUCAGUUGCAUUAGCAGGCCUGUGCCCUGACAGACAGAAGAUACCAGCAAGGUUGCACCACGCUAUACGUGCUGUUCCUCCCUCUUCCUGUUCUGCAAACAGGGAAGCUGACUCUAGCCAUAAAGACACCCACAGCAGGCAAACCCAGGAAACAGACAGCAAACUAAGAUUCACCUAGGCUGAGACCUCUAUUUGUAGGAGGAAUGAGAUACUGCAGACAACAGGCUUUAGCAGCAAUGGCUCUACUUUGAAGGACCUGACUUGCCUUCAACUAUGUGUCCUCUCAGGCAAUCAACACACCCUAUGAAGAACACACACCUUAAUCACACUUGAACUUAUUUUACUUCUUCCUCUUUUCUCAAAAAGCAUUUUACAUCUCACAAAAAAUUCUAAUUGUCCUACCGAAAGUUCACGCUUCUGAUUUUGCCUAUCUAGAGAAGAGUGCUUAUUCACAAACAAACCUUGAAGGAUGGAAAAAUGACAAGGAAGAUAGCAUCAAGCCAGACAAGUAUGACUGGAAACUCAGAUGUAAAGAAUUCAAGUAUUUCAGAAGGUUUCUUGAUAGAUCAGAAAUGUACAUUGUGAAAUGUGGUGGUGAAGAUGGUUUUAGGACCAUUUGUACUUCCAGAGCAUCCCCCAAAACCUGGGGGAUUCCUACUCUUCCAGGGGAGCAUGCAAAAGGUCUGCUACUACUACUCACUAUUCUCGUGAACAGCUGUAUGACAAAGGUCCUAUGCUGCAGAUUCACUUGAAUAAUGACAGGUAAGGUUAUCUUCUUGCUUUUGAGGUUUUGUUUUACUUAUUUUCCAGCCUCUUCACUUCAGCAGUUAAACGUUAAUUUCUAAGCAAAAGCAAAGCCUUAAUAUCAUUACAGCUCUUAUUUCUCGAUUUGUUCUCAAAUAGUUUCUGUCACUGUACAAGAAAGAAGACUUCAAUUGGAAAAGGAUUAAAAUAAUAAUAAAAAGUGGUCCAUUUUACUGGCACAUUAAAGAGCAACGCCAACACUAUACUAACUUUAUUCUUCCAGGGAAAGUGUUGCCUUUCCCUCUCUGUUUCAAAAAGCAUGUAUAAAUAAUAAGCCCAAUUUUCAGUCUCAACUGGGUUACCCUUUUCCUUGCUUGUAAUUUUGCAUAUGCUCGCAUAAUUACGGACUGAAAUUUGCAAAUACAAUUACUUGCUGACACACAUUGUUAUUUGAAUGAUAAAGUAUUUGAUUGUAUCCAAUGAAAACAAGAUGCGGAAGCAAAUGUGUUUUAGCAAACCUAAUGUACUAACUUAAGCUUCUGUUGUUUUAUGGAAAUAUGAUCCCCUAACAGUAUGUCUACACCCUGUAGUGAAGUAUUGUCUAGAGACCUUACAUUAAAAGCAAGAUAGCUGUCUUGCUGCAUUAUCACAUUUACACUUGCCUGGUAAGAAAUACAGCUACAUAGGAACAAUUACUUUCUACUUUUUAAACAGGAAAGUUUGCUUUCAUAAAAAUCGUCAAAUUAACAAUGGCAUAUUAACGGAGUCACAAAAUAACUACCAAAAAGAUGCUGCUAAAUUAAACUAAUUCAGAAUUCAUAUUGCAUUUUGAUGGCAGUUCAUGACAUGUAGUAAAACCACCUGGUUUCUCUCCCAAAGAGAGAAAAAGGGUUAAAUCAGAACUCACGAAAAGAAGAGCAGCUGUCAAGACUGCAGUUUAGCAAAACUAAGAGGCAUUUGAGUUCACUUAGAUUUGCCAGUGACUUUUGAAGCUACAUUUAAUUCUGGUUAUUUCAAAGUUAGCAAACCUUUUAUUAACAAAAUUCCAUAGGAAAUCCUUAAAACUGCACAUGGGGGGCUGUCUGUGGCAUGGUCCUCUCUCACUGCAGUCUUGCAGAGUUCUUGCUGGAUUUCCUAGGGCUCACCAUAAAUACAAACAACUGACCAGAAAAUCCAGAUGAGGUUCAACUGUAUUUCAAGAACAGCUAUGACCUAAUACUUUCUUGAUACAGAGGCACAGACGUGAAGCUAGGGAGAUUAUACUAAGAACUCAGUUAGUAUCUUUCAGAAGAGAAUGCAGAGUAUGGCUAAGCAGCUCACUAAUUACAUUUAAAGAUAUUACUCAGGAAAUCUAAGGAUAGGAAAGAAGUUACCGAUAUACUUAAAGGCAUUAUCAAUAAGAUCAGGAAGACAAAAGAAAAGCUUUUUGUUACUAAAAUUUUUGUCUAUAUUUGAAUAUACCGUUGUCAAUGGAAAAGAAAUCCAGAGCCUGGAGUCAUUCUGGAUUCCAAGUCUGGAAGCUGGCACUGAAUAAAAACACAGCCAAAGACACCGAGAGAUAUUUAACAAAUGAAUAUUAUACAGAAUCAAUCAACAUAACAUGAGUUACCACUUCAAACUAUUCAGAAAUGAUGGCAGUGUUCAUAUAAGGAGAGCUUAAAAGAUUCCUACAUCUUUUUUCUCUAAUUUUAUCUAGUUUCAAAGCUUUCAGAAAUCAUGUACUUAAUCUUUUCUUUGCAACUGAGAGAGCUGUAAGUUAAACUUUUUUACAGUAAGACCAAAAUUCUUACGUAUUUCCAUAAUCCGUAGUCUUGGAAGGCAGGUUUUAAAGAAAAUGCGAAUCAGUGCAUGACUACAGAGGAAGACUGCAAGAGUUGGUAACUCUAAGCCAGCAGUGACAAUGCACCAUAAAUUGGAUAUUAACUUCAGGAAGAAUCAAACAGCAAAAUUCCAGUGUAGUCUUGAAUAGUGUCAUCUUCAAAUUAUAAUCCAGGAUGUCCGCACCAUGUUGGCCAAACUACAGAUUAAAGCAUUGUACAAGUAUAAAGUCUGAGGACAGGUAGCCACUGAGAGCAGCUCAGUAUUUACUGCUGCAUUUGACAUAAGUGUUUGUUUAUGAGGGUCAGCCUGACUUCUUUGUGUUUCAAAACCCCUAGGUGACCAUACUCUAUCAUCCAUAUAUAAAUGCUCCAGCAGUCCAGGAAGAAACCCACGCUUUAUCAGAUGUAUUUACAAGACACAUCCUACCAGCACGCAGUCCAUGGCCACCAGAGAAAAGUACAAUACUUUUCUGCAUGGGCUGCCAAGCACUGCUUCCUAAAACCAACCUGAACUUGUGUUUGUAUUCCAGACUUUUGUUCCCAUUGGAGCUACACAGGAUCAAAAGCUGUUUACUCCUUUUGGUUUAGUACAUUCUACACCAACACGGUUUCAGGAAAAAGUGCCAAAACCGCCGAUCAGGGCUUUCAUGUUGUUGUUAGAGCCUAAGGAGGGAUGACACAGUGUGUUUACAGCUCAAACGGCUCUGAACUCUCCAGUUCUCUGGGCAGGAGAAAGACAGCAUGAUUGCAGUCCCCUGAUUAUGCCUUGCAUUUUUUAAAUGUUCAAAUCUUUGCAGCCUUCCCAUAGCGUUCAGUGCACUUUGACCAUAAACUGCUCCAGAGUGCAGGCAGAAACAGCUGGGAAAAUAUUAAUCCUCUCCUUAUAUGGCGAGAAUAAGAAUGAGAAAAUACAGGCUGCGUUCAAUGUGAUAAAUGUCUAAGAAAUUCCUCUUUGAGUGGAUUCCCCGAGUCUACCUUCUACAUUCACAGAACACAAAUUAUUUAGCAUAUAGAGAUAAGAAUUCGUGUCAGCUCAAGUUAAUUUUGUACCACAAUUAUCAGAAAACGCUGGUUUGACCUUUAAAAAAAAUCUAGUAUUUUCAGACUUUCACCCACUCUUAAAACUUAAUUUGAAGUGCUGUACAACAGUUCUUGCAAGUUAGACGAGCAGUUUUAUUUUGCAGACGAGGAAACAAGAUAAAAUUGUUAAGUGACUUCCCCAAGUCAUUAUUAGGUCUAGAGAAGAUUUCAGAAGACUCAAUCCUGUAUCCUGCAUUGUCCAUUAAUCAACAUUCCUAACAGAGUACGUAAGUAUAAGCUAUCACCACAAUACAUGCUUGCAUUGUAUCUACUAAAUGGCUACGUGAGUUGAAUAAAUUACAUUAAACUAAUCUGUCUUACUGGGUUGCUUUCCUGUUGGGUCAGCAUUGCAGUCUAGGUCACCACACAGCUGUAGGAGAACUGUCACAAGGAAGUGGGCAAGAACAUGUGGCCGGAGGUAGAGCAAGACCAAGUGCAGACAGAGAUAAAAUUAGACACAGAAAGCAGUGAUCUAACAAAGUCCUCUGUUUUAGCCACAGGGCGCUGUAUGUUUUUUUUUAUUUAUGUAUAAAACAUAGUAAUAUGGGGCUGAAGAAUUCAGAGAUGAACUAGUUCGACCUCCUACUCUAAGGCAGGAUCAAGUGCAUGCAGAGCGUCUAUGACUGAUGAUUAUCUAAGCUGUUCUCACCUCUAGUGAGGAUAAUUCAUUGAGUAACCCUCAGGUAGCCACUGAUGAUGCUUUACCAUCCCAGUAAUGGAAAGGUUUUAUAGUCUUUUAGCCUAAAUCACCUCUGUGGCACAUUAGAUUGAUUUCUUUGUUUCCUCUGGAAAUUAUGGCAAGCCAUUGAUCACUGUCACUUAAAUACUGACAUUUUGUGUAUCAAAGACUAAUGUCCUUUCCAGUUUCCUUUUUUUUUAGCCUAAGCAAGACAGUUCUUUCAGUCUUUGCUCUGUGGUUACCUGUUUGAAAUCUAUUAUCGUUCAGAACUUUCUCUCCUUGAGUUUUGUCUUUCUUGAAGUGAGGGAACUAAACCCAAAGUAUCCCACUGACCAGCAUCAGUACCAAACAGCAGAAAAUUACUUCCAUUGUCCAGCUGUUAAUUUACCUUUUCUGGAUGGAAAACUAAAAUAUCACUGAAGACAUUGAAUGAAUUCCAACAAUACAUUUUUAUGUAUGGAUAAUAAAAUUAAAUAUGAUGCAAGGAAAGUCCCUGCCCUAGAGAGCUAGCUCAUCUUUUGAAACAACAUAAUUACACACACAUUCUCUCACACAUUAUAAUCUGGCUAGCUGCCUAUACGACCUACAAAUUCUACUUCUUCUUAUGUACUUUCAUUUAUUCAACAGCCUUUGUUUUUCAGAAAUGCUGUGCACUAUGACUUUGGCACUACAGUCACCAGACCGAGCAGGAACAUCCUGGACGUGAUGACAGUUGCACUUACUGAUAACUGUAAGGACUGUGCUUUCAGAUGAACAUACCCACAGGAAGAGAUGCUGGCAAACUACGCUUUCUAGUUCAGACUCCAACUCUCUAUGCAGGGCAACUAACCAGUCACCUGAAGGUGCUUUUUUCUGUCUGGCCACUUGAGAGGAGAGAAAUCAAAAAGCAGAAAGUAAGGCUCCCAGCAAACAGAAAAAAGGUGGACAAAGUGCAAAAGGAUUGCUGCUGUAGUGAGGGAGCAUAAGCAGCAUUCAGGAGCAGGUCUUUCUGUCUUCAUAGGGCUUCCCAUAUUGUAUACUGCCUGUGGUCAGUUGGACUCACAUACAAAUCUUUUUUUGCCAACUUCAUCAUCCUGUACAAGCUGCCAGAAGAAGGGGAAUCCGGGGAAGCGUUGCUUAAAACUACUGGUUACAGGGACUGAUCAGUACUGGCUCUAAUGCUCUUUUUUUCCAAUUUUU